UCCUGGUUAACCCAGGCAGUCUCAUUAGAGUUCCCACCUUAAAUGUUGGCAACUAAUGAUAAGGGUUGCGCUCGUUGCGGGACUUAACCCAACACCUCACGGCACGAGCUGACGACAGCCAUGCAGCACCUGUUCACGAGUCCCGAAGGAAGAUCCUAUUUCUAGGACUGUCUCGUGUAUGUCAAGUCUGGGUAAGGUUCUUCGCGUUGCAUCGAAUUAAACCACAUGCUCCACUGCUUGUGCGGGUCCCCGUCAAUUCUUUUGAGUUUCACCCUUGCGAGUGUACUCCCCAGGCGGUAUACUUAACGCGUUAGCUCCGGCACUACUAGGGUUGAUUCCAGUAACACCAAGUAUACAUAGUUUACGGCAAGGACUAC
rnacentral:misc_RNA from 1 species